UCCCGGCGGUCCAAGUCGCAUCCACAAUUAUUGGGUCUAAAACAUCCGUAGCUUGCUUUGCAAGUCUCUUGUGAAAUCAGGCCUCUCAAAGGUCUGGCGUGCAAGAGAUACUGCUAAGCUUGAGACCGGAAGACGCGAAGAGUACGAUUGAGGUAGUGGUAAAAUAUGUUAAUCUUGGUCGGACUAACAGUGGCGAAGGCGCUUCGCGAGUACGGAUCUGACAGUGAGGGAUGAAGGCUAGGGGC
rnacentral:rRNA from 1 species